UUCUCUGCUUCUGUAAGAAGCCGAGGUUCUCAUUCAUCAACGAUUCUCGAAUUUGGUUUAGGGUUCACAAUUUGGAGAUUUUUGGGGUUCGUGAUUUGGAUUAUGAAUGUUCUUUUUCGUAAAUCAUUGCUAGAUGCUAAGGUUUUUGUUCUUUGUUUGUUUUCAGGUAGGGUUUACAAUUUUGGGGUUUUUGUGGUAAGAGUCAGGAUAUUUCUAAUUCGAUGCUAGCUGAAUAUCGACCUUUGUUUUGGGAUUUAGGUUUACGAUUUGGGAUUUUUACUAAUUGGGUUAUAGAUAUGGUGUUGAAAGUUGGGUUCAGUCAUCAUAAAGCAGAGGGACAAGAUGCAGGAUGAGCGGAAAGGGGAGUGUUUUAUCGAGAGACGGGGUUGAUCCUGAAUCACCUAUCAGUGGAUGUGUCUUAAUAACAUUGAUAAAGAGCAUAACGAUUGAGAUUUAUUGAAGAUAUGGAAGAAGCAGGUGUUAUUGUGCAGCUUCUCAAUUACAGUUCGAUAAUUCUUUGAUCACAAUGUCUCAUUUCAUAUAUCCUUUUCUUUUAUAUAUUUCAAAUUUUGAUGUAUAUAUUACAUAAACAUGUUAGUUGGCCGAAACUCUUUUCUGUGAUUCCUAUUGCAUGAGAUGAUAUCUUAACUAUUCAAGAUAGUGUACCUAUAUAUGCAUGCUUGGAGUUCAUUGCUUCACAUGUAUCUUGUUCAACUUAGUUGAUAGGGCCUACUUGCCUCCCUCCAUUUACUUCCUGGUUCUUUACCGUGCUGCUAAUUUCCAACGAGCUUCAGAGGCAGCUGCUGCUCAUCGAUCUCCACCACUUUUCCGUGAUCUGGUUUAUUGUCUAAAGCAACAUGUGCUGAUCUUUUUUCUCUCUUUUAUUUUAUUUCUCUCAACUUACAUAUACAUGAA